UACGGAGGGGGCAAGCGUUAUUCGGAAUUAUUGGGCGUAAAGGGCGCGUAGGCGGCUAGAUGUGUCAAAGGUGAAAUCCCUCGGCUCAACUGAGGAACUGCCUUUGAAACUGUCUGGCUUGAGGCCGGGAGAGGGUAGCGGAAUUCCCAGUGUAGCGGUGAAAUGCGCAGAUAUCAGGAAGAAUAUCCGUGGCGAAGGCGGCUCUCUGGUACGGCACUGACGCUGAGACGCGAAAGCGUGGGGAGCGAACAGG
rnacentral:rRNA from 1 species